GGCGGAGGAAGGGAAGGCCUGGCUGUCCAGCGGAAUCCGCCUGGACGCACGGACCUCGCGGACCCGACCGGAGCAGCUCUUCGGGCCCUGGCGUGGACCCUUCUCCCAGAGGCACAUGCCCAGAACCCAGCAAUGGCCAAUGGGACCCUGAUGGCCGAGGGCCAGAGAAGACUCAAGUGCAAAGAGCUGAGGUGCUUACACGACCACCGCACAGGAACGAAGCGUCGGAGUGUGGAAUCGAGACCUGUUCUACUGCACUCCAGAGCACAUGUUCUUUCUACUCUGCCAUAAUGUUUGGGACAAAAUUGAAUCAUGAGGGUUUUUUUUUUUUCCAUUACAAAUGUAACACAUCGCUCCUGCGUACGGCUGGGAUGAGUCACUGGCACCAGACGUGCCCUCCUGCGAAAAACAGCUAUGAAACUGGACAAAAUACAGGAGGGCCACUGUUUUCAGGCGUUGAACAGUGGAAAGAGGACUGCGAUCCUUGAGAAGAGAUGAUGGUGAAGACAUGUCUCCAAGGAAACUCGUGUGAAGAUGUUCAUAGCAACAUCGUUUAUAAGAGCAAAGAAACCAAGAAUAACCCAAAUGUCCAGCAAGAGGAGAGCGGACAAAGAAACGCCGAGUUCUAUGGAAUACUACUGCACCUUUUAAAAGGAAGAGGACAAGCUCUUUAAAUAAAUCUGGAUAGAUUUCCAAGACAUAUUGUUGAGUUAAAAAAGCAAGCUGCGGAACAAUAUGUACAGUAGGCUCCCAUUUAUGUUAAAAGACACUCAUAUGCUUGCUCAAAACAAUACUACUCAUUUACUAUACAAUACUAUGCAUAUACUCUAUUACCACACACGCACACACAUGCACACACAUGCAUGCACACACACACAUGCAGCAUGCACUCACUUUUAGACAAAGAUCUAGAAGGAUCAGCCAUAAACCAAUAAUAACGGUUACUUCCAGGGAAGAGAUCUAGUUGAGAGAGAGGUGACCAAAGAGAAUUUUAGCUUUGUCUGUAAGCUUUUUUUAAGAAGCAAGGAAAGUCUAUCUGUAUAUUAUUUGUACAAUUUAAAAGUAAUUUUCCUUUUUUUCUUUUCUUUUUUUUUUUGAGAUAGGGUCUUGCUCUGUCACCCAGACUGGAGUGCUGUGGCAUGAUCAUGGCUUCACUGUAGCUUCAAACUCCUGGGCUCAAGUGAUCCUCCCACCUCGGACUCCCCAGUAGCUGGGACUACAGGUGAGCGCCACCAUGCCCAGCUAAUUUUUGCUUUUUUUUUCUGUAGAGAUGGGGUCUUGCCAUGUUGUCCAGGUCGGUCUUGACCUCCUGGGCUCAAGUGAUCCUCCCACCUUGGCCUCCCAAAGUGCUGGGAUUACAGGUGUGAGCCACUGUGUCCGGCCUAAAAAUAAUUUUCUAAAAGGAAGAAAUAUAUAUGAAUAUAUACAUCCAUGCAUACUAUGAAUAUAAACAUAGGGCCUUAUUUUAAAUGUUCUUUGUGGCAGACAGGCCUGAAUUCAAAUCCUGCUACUGCCACCACCUAACUGUGUCACUAGACAAGUCCAUUCUUUCACUUGGAACCUCUGUUUCCUCAUAUGUAAAAUGGGGAUACUCAUUUAUAUUUAAUAGGGUUGUCAUCAAAGUAACUUAUAAUGUUUGUAAAGUUCCAAGAGCAGGCCGGGCAUGGUGGCUCACACCUGUAAUCCCAGCACUUUGGGAGGCUGAGAUGAGUGGAUCACCUGAGGUCAGGAGUUCGAGACCAGCCUGGGCAACAUGGCAAAAUCCUGUCUCUACUAAAAAUAUAAAAAUUAGCCGGGUAUGGUGGCAGGCAACUGUAAUCCCAGCUACUCUGGAGGCUGAGGCAGGAGAAUCACUUGAAACCCGGAGGCAGAGGUUGCAGUGAGCCACUGCAACCUCCAGCCUGGGCUACAGAGUGAGACUCCGUCUCAAAAAAAAAAAAAAAGUUCCAAGAGCAGUGUCUGACAACUAGCGUAUGUUCAACUAAAUACGAAUACCCUUCCCUUCCACUUCCCAGUCCCUGCUACCCCUAACCUUGCUCCUAAGCCAUGAGUCAUGCUGUGGUGACUAUUUUGUAGGUGCCGCCUUAGCACUUACAUUCCCUAGGGUAGGCGGAAUAAUUACUCCCCAAAGAUGUCCUCAUCCCCAGAACCCGUGAAUAUGUUUGAUUACAUAGCAAAGAGGAAGUAAGGCAGCUGGCGGAAUUAAGGUUGCUAAUCAGCUGACGUUAAGAUAGGGAAAGUAGGCCGGGCGCGGUGGCUCACGUGUGUAAUCCCAGCACUUUGGGAGGCUGAGGCGGGCAGAUCACAAGGUCAGGAGAUCAAGACCAGCCUGGCCAACAUGGUGAAACCCUAUCUUUAUUAAAAAUAGAAAAA
rnacentral:lncRNA from 1 species